AAUUCUAUCUGGUCAACGUAUUUGACGCAAGAAGCCAGAUUAUGGUGGACGAAUAAACUGUCUUUUAUACAGAAUAUGCAGAGUAACAAAUACCAACUGACACAAUAUUCCAGAAAGGGAUGUAUUUGGCGACUGAAUUCGUUUAAAGCCAUAUGACAAAAAUGCACUUGAAGAUUCUGUGGAUGGCACUGAUCCCGUGCCAUCCGAUGUAAGACAGCUUCUAGCGGGCGAACAGGAAACACCGGAGGUAAGUCAUCUAUGUGUUGUAUCAUAUGACCAAUUACACAGCGCUUUAUGACAAAAUAGGUGUUCUUAUCAAAUCAAUACAAAAUACAAAAGGGAAUAUUUGUCAAUAUUUUAAUGCAAAACAAUAUAAGUUAUGAAAAAAUACAUACACAAUUCUCAAUGGGUUGGUUGUACAUGUCAACGGCCUGUAUACAUGCAUGACGUAUAACAUGAAUAAUAAUAUGAUAUCACACUGUUGUAUUCUGUUUGAAAUUGAUUGUUUUUAUUUAAAAGGUGAAAUAAGUAGUAAUUGCCUUUUUUCGUCCAUUCUCAGACCGUCAAAUAUGUCGUCAAGCUCAAUUUUGCACACUUGUUAUUUGUUUUUGCCAGAAUAAUUUAAAAAAAAUAAAACAAAAUGAUCUGCUAACCAAUUAAAAUACUAUUCAUCAGAAUAACACGUAAAUCUGUAUAUAUAGUGAGGCAUUCUUAACGUCCAGUGGCAAUUAUUACGUGCAUACUGAGGACGAAAAAAACUUUUAAAAAUUAUACAAAAGGUAUAUGCUAUAUGAGUAAGCACGACAUGUAUAGUUCGGAAAAUUUAAACUAACUCUAGAAAACUAUAGUAGAUAGACCAGAAAGUUUACCUUUCAACAGACCUCUGAAAGAGUGGUUGUGAUGGUAAAAAAGUUACAUUUAUAUCGGGUAUAUGAUCGGGUUUAAAAUUCCAUGUUCCUAAAGGCAUUGUAAUUAUGCACCGUUCUAUUUUCUUAUUCAAAUUGAUAUAUACAGAUAAAGAUUCAAUCUAAGACAGUUUUACUGUUUAGCGGUUUUCAGUUUCUCAGACAGUAUUAUACAAUGCAAGUCAUUGCAGGACGCAACAUCUGCAAAUAUUUUGAUAACAUUUUGUCCAAAAAAAAUAACAUUUAUUUUUUCAGAUUAUUGUCAAUAAUUGAUGAUGAGGGCACGUACACACGGUCUGAAGAUUUUAGUAUUGAUGGACCUUUUAAUCCAGAUAUGGAAAUCAGUUUUGAGGAACUUUAUUAUCCAUCUUCGAACAUAUGUGUUGUGAAACUUUUUUUUAUUCAUAAAACAUUGCAGAAAAUAUUGUUGAAAACACAUCUUAAAAGUAAAAUGUAAAAAUCUGGCAUCAAU
rnacentral:lncRNA from 1 species